UACGUAGGGUGCAAGCGUUAAACGGAAUUAUUGGGCGUAAAGGGCUCGUAGGCGGUUUGUCGCGUCGGGAGUGAAAUCCACUGGCUUAACUGGUGGCUUGCUUUCGAUACGGGCAGACUGGAGGUAUGCAGGGGAGAACGGAAUUCCUGGUGUAGCGGUGAAAUGCGCAGAUAUCAGGAGGAACACCGGUGGCGAAGGCGGUUCUCUGGGCAUGUCCUGACGCUGAGGAGCGAAAGUGUGGGGAGCGAACAGG
rnacentral:rRNA from 1 species